rnacentral:rRNA from 1 species
UACAGAGGGUGCGAGCGUUAAUCGGAAUUACUGGGCGUAAAGCGCGCGUAGGCGGCUUUGCAAGUCGGGUGUGAAAUCCCCAGGCUUAACCUGGGAACUGCAUUCGAGACUGCAUUGCUAGAGUAUGGGAGAGGGAAGUGGAAUUUCCGGUGUAGCGGUGAAAUGCUUAGAUAUCAGGAGGAACACCAGUGGCGAAGGCGGUGUUCUGGGCCAGUACUGACGCUGGAGGCGCGAAAGCGUGGGGAGCGAACAGG